UACGGAGGGGGCUAGCGUUGUCCGAAGUUACUGGGCGUAAAGCGCGCGUAGGCGGGUUGGUAAGUCCGCUGUGAAAGCCCCGGAGCUCAACUCCGGAGGGUCGGUGGAUUACUGCCAGUCUUGAAGGUGCUAGGGGGAGAUGGAAUUACCGGUGUAGCGGUGAAAUGCGUAGAUAUCGGUAGGAACACCAGUGGCGAAGGCGGUCUCCUGGGGCAUUCUUGACGCUGAGGCGCGAAAGCUGGGGGGAGCAAACAGG
rnacentral:rRNA from 1 species